AUGCGGGACGGGGAGGUACAUGGGGCUGGGGUCGCGCCUGACCCCGGGAGGACGCCUGACGGGGAGGUACAGGGAGCUGGGGUCGCGCCGGACCCCGGCAGGACGCCUGACGGGGAGGUUCCGUGGGCCGGGGUCGCGCCGGACCCCGGGAGGACGCCUGACGGGGAGGUACAGGGAGCUGGGGUCGCGCCGGACCCCGGCAGGACGCCCGACGGGGAGGUUCCAAGGGCCGGGGUCGCGCCUGACCCCGGGAGGACGCCUGACGGGGAGGUACAGGGAGCUGGGGUCGCGCCUGACCCCGGGAGGAUGCGGGACGAGGAGGUACAUGGGGCUGGGGUCGCGCCUGACCCCGGGAGGACGCCUGACGGGGAGGUACAGGGAGCUGGGGUCGCGCCGGACCCCGGCAGGACGCCCGACGGGGAGGUUCCAAGGGCCGGGGUCGCGCCGGACCCCGGGAGGACGCCUGACGGGGAGGUACAGGGAGCUGGGGUCGCGCCUGACCCCGGGAGGAUGCGGGACGGGGAGGUACAUGGGGCUGGGGUCGCGCCUGACCCCGGGAGGACGCCUGACGGGGAGGUACAGGGAGCUGGGGUCGCGCCGGACCCCGGGAGGACGCCUGACGGGGAGGUACAGGGAGCUGGGGUCGCGCCUGACCCCGGCAGGACGCCCGACGGGGAGGUUCCAAGGGCCGGGGUCGCGCCGGACCCCGGGAGGACGCCUGACGGGGAGGUACAGGGAGCUGGGGUCGCGCCUGACCCCGGGAGGAUGCGGGACGGGGAGGUAAAUGGGGCUGGGGUCGCGCCUGACCCCGGGAGGACGCCUGACGGGGAGGUACAGGGAGCUGGGGUCGCGCCGGACCCCGGCAGGACGCCCGACGGGGAGGUUCCGUGGGCCGGGGUCGCGCCGGACCCCGGGAGGACGCCUGACGGGGAGGUACAGGGAGCUGGGGUCGCGCCGGACCCCGGCAGGACGCCCGACGGGGAGGUUCCAAGGGCCGGGGUCGCGCCUGACCCCGGGAGGACGCCUGACGGGGAGGUACAGGGAGCUGGGGUCGCGCCUGACCCCGGGAGGAUGCGGGACGGGGAGGUACAUGGGGCUGGGGUCGCGCCCGACCCCGGGAGGACGCCUGACGGGGAGGUACAGGGAGCUGGGGUCGCGCCGGACCCCGGCAGGACGCCCGACGGGGAGGUUCCGUGGGCCGGGGUCGCGCCGGACCCCGGGAGGACGCCUGACAGGGAGGUACAGGGAGCUGGGGUCGCGCCGGACCCCGGCAGGACGCCCGACGGGGAGGUUCCAAGGGCCGGGGUCGCGCCUGACCCCGGGAGGACGCCUGACGGGGAGGUACAGGGAGCUGGGGUCGCGCCUGACCCCGGGAGGAUGCGGGACGGGGAGGUACAUGGGGCUGGGGUCGCGCCUGACCCCGGGAGGACGCCUGACGGGGAGGGUACAGGGAGCUGGGGUCGCGCCUGA
rnacentral:lncRNA from 1 species